rnacentral:rRNA from 1 species
GGCCCAGAUUCCUACGGGAGGCAGCAGUAGGGAAUCUUUCCACAAUGGACGAAAGUCUGAUGGAGCAACGCCGCGUGAGUGAAGAAGGUUUUCGGAUCGUAAAACUCUGUUGUUGGAGAAGAAUGUAUCUGAUAGUAACUGAUCAGGUAGUGACGGUAUCCAACCAGAAAGCCACGGCUAACUACGUGCCAGCAGCCGCGGUAAUACGUAGGUGGCAAGCGUUGUCCGGAUUUAUUGGGCGUAAAGCGAGCGCAGGCGGUUUCUUAAGUCUGAUGUGAAAGCCUUCGGCUCAACCGAAGAAGUGCAUCGGAAACUGGGAAACUUGAGUGCAGAAGAGGACAGUGGAACUCCAUGUGUAGCGGUGAAAUGCGUAGAUAUAUGGAAGAACACCAGUGGCGAAGGCGGCUGUCUGGUCUGUAACUGACGCUGAGGCUCGAAAGCAUGGGUAGCAAACAGGAUUAGAUACCCUGGUAGUCCAUGCCGUAAACGAUGAGUGCUAGGUGUUGGAGGGUUUCCGCCCUUCAGUGCCGCAGCUAACGCAUUAAGCACUCCGCCUGGGGAGUACGACCGCAAGGUUGAAACUCAAAGGAAUUGACGGGGGCCCGCACAAGCGGUGGAGCAUGUGGUUUAAUUCGAAGCAACGCGAAGAACCUUACCAGGUCUUGACAUCCUUUGACCACUCUAGAGAUAGAGCUUUCCCUUCGGGGACAAAGUGACAGGUGGUGCAUGGUUGUCGUCAGCUCGUGUCGUGAGAUGUUGGGUUAAGUCCCGCAACGAGCGCAACCCUUAUUACUAGUUGCCAGCAUUAAGUUGGGCACUCUAGUGAGACUGCCGGUGACAAACCGGAGGAAGGUGGGGACGACGUCAAAUCAUCAUGCCCCUUAUGACCUGGGCUACACACGUGCUACAAUGGAUGGUACAACGAGUUGCGAGACCGCGAGGUUUAGCUAAUCUCUUAAAACCAUUCUCAGUUCGGAUUGUAGGCUGCAACUCGCCUACAUGAAGCCGGAAUCGCUAGUAAUCGCGGAUCAGCAUGCCGCGGUGAAUACGUUCCCGGGCCUUGUACACACCGCCCGUCACACCAUGAGAGUUUGUAACACCCAAAGCCGGUGAGGUAACCCUUCGGGGAGCCAGCCGUCUAAGGG